UGAGCUAUGAUUGCACCACUGCACUCCAGUCUGGGCGACAGAACCAGACCAUGUCUAAAAAGAAAAAACACUCAGUGAUAAUUUCACAUUACAGUUUGAGAGGUUCCUGUUGACUUGGGGAAACUAGUUUUAGCAGACUUCAUUAAAGGAGUGUACACCUUACUACAGGAUGUAAUUUAAAAUAGAAUGUUUAAAUAAUAAAUUCACUUCUGGGUAUAUACUCAAAGCAGGAAUUCAAACAGGUAUUUGUACACCAAAGUUCGUAACAGCAUUAUUCACAGUAGCCAAAAUGUGGAAACAACCCAAAUGUCCAUUAAAGGAUGAAUAAACAAAAUGUGAUAUACAUACAAUGGAAUAUUCAGCCUUUAUUUUUCCAAUCAGAGUUUCAGGAAAAUCAACCUUUAAAAGGAGUGAAAUUCUGACAUUUGCUGCCACAUGGAUGAAUCUUGAUGAUGAUAUGCUGAGUGAUAUAUAAUCAGUCACGGAAGGACAAAUACUGCAUGAUUCAAUUUAUAUCAGUGCUUUGCUAAUGACUGACCGGUGUGGAUGUAUAAAAGUCCAGCUCCGUGAUCUCAGACUUCCGGCCUCCAGAACUCAGGCCCUGACAUUGUAUAAGCUUCAGGCCCCACAAAACCUGGAUCUGCCCUGCCAGGAUCAGCAUCUAGAGGAAAACUACUACUUCCACAAUAGCACAACCAAUCUGAUCAUCCCUGCAUCAGUGAGCAUUCUCCAGAGAAACAGAGCCAACAGGAUAUGUGUAUAUAUGUGAAGAAAGACUUAUUUUAAGGAGUUGGCUCAUGCAAUUAUGGAGGUGCAAGUCCAAAAUCUGUAGGGCAGGCAGAUGGGCAGACUGGAGACCCAGAGAAGAGUUGCAGUUCAAGUCCAAAGUCGGUUGGAAGAAUUCCCUCUUGCUGGGUAACACUGGGGAAGCAGGAGUAGAUGGAAAGGGGAGGUGUCAGGCUUUGCUCUACCAAGGACUUCAACUGAUUGGAUGAGGCCCAGUAACAUUAUGGAGGGAAACCUGCUUUGCUCAGAGUUUACUGAUUUAAAUAUUAAUCUCAUCCACAAAAAAAUAAAUAACCUUCACAGAAACAUUUAGAAUAUUUGACCAAAUAUCUAAGUCCCAUGGCUCAGACAACUUAACACAUAAAAUUAUCCAUCACAAUUCCAUUAUCCCAAUACAGGUCGGCAGGGCCUUGGGCAGGUGGUAACCUCAGCUCUGGAGUCUACAGCAAUACUCUCACACUUAACAGAUGUAGUUCUGUGGGUCCAGGUCCCACUUCGCAAGAGAGAAUCUGAUGGGCUAAUUUCGACCAAGUCUCCUUUCCUAGUUCAAUCACGUGUAAGGGUUAGAGAAAGGGUUGGGCUCACAAGGGACUUAGGGCUGCCUCUCUGGACUUGGGAGAGCAGGACUUCUCAAGAGAUAAAUGGUUAGAGAGUAAUAUAAUUUGGAUAUUUGUCCCCUAUAAAUCUCAUGUUGAAAUUUGAUGUUCAAUGUUGAGGGCAGGUCUGGGACCUCCCUCCCUGCUUUUGCUCCCCCUCUCGCCAUAUGGCACAACUGCUCCCUUCACCUUCUGCUAUGAAUGGAAGCUUCCUGAGGCCUUCACCAAAAGCGGAGGCUGGUACCAUGCUUCACGCACAGCCUGCAGAAUCAUGAGCCAAAUAAACUACUUUUCUUUAUAAAUCAUCCAGUUUCAGGUAUUCGCUUAUAGCAACACAAAAUGGACUAAUACAGAGAGGAAAUAUUUUGAGCACAUUGAAGGCCCCAAAAUAUUGAGCUUUUUUUUUUUAACCUAUAUAGUACUUUUCUUGCAUCUCAGUUUGCUUAUCUAUAGAAUGAGGAUUAAUAAGACCUACCAACUUCAGGGGGUCAUUCUGGUGAGAUAAGUGAAAAAAUUUGUAAAGAAGUGUAUAAAUUUACCAUUGUUUUUUAAAACUAAAAUGAUCUCUAACACUAAGUUGAUGAUCUGAUCACAAAGAUGGGGUAGAUGAAAUGAAGAGAAAAGGUUUCUGACAUUUGUAUACUUAGAAAUGUAUCCAGGCUGGGCAUGGUGGUCCAUACCUGUAAUCCCAGCACUUUGAGAGGCCAACGCAGGAGGGUCACUU
rnacentral:lncRNA from 1 species